CCACAGACAGAAAGACACGCACACACACACAUGCAUAUGCACCCUAAGGACACUUUAGCUGCCAUCUCUCAUUGACCUCACCUGGGCGACCCCCUUUGGGCUCCCAGCCCCUGCCUCUGCCUAGGGACAAUCUCCAAGGUAAAGCUUGGCAAUUUGAGCUUACUCCUGGGGCGAGGUAUGUACCCCCAGCAUAGCAGGGACUCCACGUUGGCACUUGCUGCCCCCUAAACACACUUCCCCUUCUAGUAGCCAUCACUCUUCUGGGCACUGCCCUGUCUCCCUGGCUUGCCCUUAUUCUGUCACCAGUUCAACCCCCUCCUGUGAGAGUACUCUUUUCAUUGGUCAUCAACACUUUCCUGCGACACCGUCCCUCCCUCCUUUCAGGGUCCCCUGCCCCAGCAGGCGCAUAGAGGCCCCGGUGGCUGGGGGUCCCAGCUCUCCAGGAGGGCGGGGCAUAAGGUGAGGGCUCACCUGGGCACGGAGGCAGCCAGCAGCAGUAGGAAGAAGAGGAGAGCGCAGAGCGCGGGCCGCGGCUGGGGCCGAGGUCGGAGCCGCAGCCAGGGGCAAGGGUGCCUCCUGGACACCAAGCCACCCUCUGCCUCAGUGAAAUGAGGUUAAUGAGACCCACCUCAUCUCAUCAAUGAGCCAGUGAAGCCUGAUUCUCCCUCUCCAUAUCACUCUGGGGUGCCGAUGUGAUCUUCGAGGGCUGGACCAGAGGGAAUGACAGUGAUGCUGGGUACCUUCCAAGGCUGGACCCUAAGAAGACACUUGCAGUUUCUGCCUUCAACUUUGGCACAGUAUAAUUUGAAAUCCAGCUUUAUGCUGAAGCCACCAUGCUGUAAGGAAGCCCAAGCUAGUCACAUGGAGAGAAGGAGGCUACUGGAGAAACUCUGGGACACUGGACAUACAUGAGUGAAGUCUUUUGGACUGUCCAUCCCAGCAGAGCCACCAGCAGAAUCAGUCAAGUGGAUGACCACAACCAAUAGCUUGUCACAAAGAGCAGAACCACCCAGCUGAGUCCUGACAAAUUCCUGACCUAAAGGAUCAUGAGGAAUAAUUACUUUGGGAUUGUUUGUUAUGCAGCAAUGGAUAACUGAAACAAUGAUAUUCCCAUUGCAUAGGUAAAGGCACUGGAACUAAGAUGACCUAUAUCGUAAACUUCUAAGCAACAGCACUGGUUUCCAACCCAGAGUGCCUGAAUCUAAUGUUCAUGCUUUGCUCUGCAUACCUUGAUGGGAGAGUCAUUCUCCACUGCGGUUUUUGGACUGUGGGGACAUUGGGGGCUCCAAAUCCCAGCCAUUUGGCCAUGUCCUCUUCCAUUCUCUCUGGAGAAAGAUGAGGGCCUUACCCUCAAUUCUGGAAGACCCAGAACCCCAACCCUUCCUCUGUCCCUUUACCCUCACCAUUAGCUUUCCAAGAGGAAUCAGAAAGGCAGGAAUGUGGUUGGAUACCAAGAGAAACCUUGGGACAGCUUUGCUUCCCCUCCCUCUAAGUUUGAUUGGAAAUGCCAUUCUAAGUUUUUUCAUUGUUAGUGGGGGUGAAGUUAGUUUUGAUGACAACAAAAUCUGAUGUUACUAAGGACAUUUUCAUCACAUUCUACCUUUUUUAAAGUUAACUUUUGAGUUUGGGUGGCCCUAUAAGUCUACCCUCAAAUUCCCAAGAAACAGGAAAAUAAACUCCCCCCACCCUGAAUUAGGACAAGGGCUGACCUGAGAACUCAGUAUACCACCGGAGGCUUCUGGUCCUCUUUCCCUAGAUCCCCUCAGUCUGCUCAUUAAAGGGGACCCCAGGUCUCCCCCAGCUUGCAGAUACAGACCCUAGAUGUGUACCAGCAUGAACAAGAAGAAUGCCAAGGGCGGGAUCCGGCACUCUUCACCACCAAGAGAGCCCAGUUCUGGAAGACAGAUGGGGACCCAGGCGAUGACCCCUGAGAGGC